AAAAAUGACCAAAUAGAUAGGCUGCUGCAAUUGUAUGAUCCAUUAAAAAAACACCUCUUUUUUUUCAUUUUCUUUCAAAUCUUAUUUAGACGCUUCUCUUUCCAUGUCCUCAUCUCUGUCUUUCUUGGUAUAUAUACGCAAUGGUUUUGCUUUAGAAGAGAGAAGAGAUUGAAAUGGAAACAAAAAUGCAAAGAAAUGCUCUGGUUUUGUCCCUGCAAGUUUGUUUCUUGAUCAUCUUCUUAACCCAUGUCAGUGGAGAGAAUUCUCGAUUUGAUGAUCAUUUCCAUGAUCAAAAGCGAAAAAUGCAAGCCUUUAAGUCAUCUUUAAUCCGUCGUGAAUUGGCUUCUUCUCCCUCUCCUUCUCCUAGCUAUUAUUCUUCUCCAGCUCCAUCACCACAGACUGUGACUGUGGAUAGUACACGAGUGUUUGAAGCGACAUCGUUUGGUGCAGAUCCAAGUGGGAAAUUGGACAGCGCAGAAGCACUUGAAAAAGCAAUAGCAGCAGCAUUUCAGGGUCCAAAAGAAUGGUUCUUGAUGGAUGGAAUCACUAAUCUUGGAGGUGCACAAAUUCGUCUUCAGGGUGGGAUUUACAAGGUUUCUCAACCUCUGAAAUUGCCUGCUGGUGGAGCAGGGAACCUUAUGAUUACAGGAGGGACAUUACUAGCCUCAGAUGAUUUUCCAACAGAUGGGUAUCUCAUUGAUUUAUCAUCAUCUUCCUCCUCCUCCUCCUAUAACUACGAGUACAUAACUCUCAAGGACCUGAUGCUGGAUUGCAAUUACAGGGGUGGAGGCAUUUCAGUUAUAAACUCACUUAGGACUAGCAUAGACAACUGUUACAUUGCACAUUUCAACACUAAUGGAAUUUUAGUCCAAAAAGGCCAUGAAACCUACAUCAGAAACUCAUUUCUUGGCCAGCACAUUACUGCCGGUGCCAAUCCAGGCGAAAGGAACUUCUCAGGCACUGCAAUAAACCUAAUGGGAAACGACAACGCCGUGACGGAUGUUGUUAUCUUCUCAGCUGCCAUUGGAAUAAUGGUUUCUGGUCAGGGUAAUACAAUUUCAGGAGUACAUUGUUAUAAUAAGGCUACAGGCUUUGGCGGCACUGGAAUUUACCUUAAGCUGCCUAAUCUAACUCAGACCAGGAUUUUGAAUUGUUAUUUGGACUACACUGGAAUUGUUGCUGAAGAUCCUAAUCAACUUACCAUCACUAACAGUUUUUUCCUUGGUGAUGCAUAUAUAGUCCUGAAAUCGAUCAACGGGGUUGCUAAAGGGAUCACCAUCGUUGAUAACAUUUUUUCUGGGUCUAAUAAGGGGAUUGACAUUGUUCAAUUGGAGCAAUCAAGUGGUCCUUUCAAGGAAAUUGAUCAAGUUGUGGUGGAUAGGAAUAAUGUUCAGGGGAUGAACAUGAGGGCAACCAUUGCUAAGGAAUCUGUUCAAGGGAAUGGGACAUCAUGGAUUGUUGAUUUUAGUCCAAUUCUAUUAUUUCCUGACCUUAUCAAUCAUGUUCAAUACUCAUUGAGUGUAAAUGGUACCUUAUUUCCUAAUUAUGCUCUUCGCAGUGUUUCCGAAAAUCGGGUUGUGAUAGAAUCAGAUGUUGCAGUGGCUGCUAAGGUUUUCGUCUCGGUGAAUCAAGCAGUAACAAUUUGAUGCUCUGCUUUGAUUUUUACAUCUAAAAGUUUGGAAGCAGCAAUAUUGUGAAGGUUAAUGUCAUCUGAAACAGAACGCUAAUUACACGUGGCAAUAAAACAUUGAGACAUAUAUUCAGGUUAAUUAUAUCAGCUCCAAGAAAAUUCGGAAGAACCAUCAAUAUUCAAGGGCUAAUUUGAUGUCCUGCCUGAGGAGGGGCAAAAAUGGGGGAAAAACAAGGCUUCGAUUUCCUUUGGUUAUGAUUGUAUCAUCAUGGGUUCUUUUUAUUUAGCAUGAAUUGUGUAUAUAUCGAAUUAUAUUCAUUUGAUUCCAAACACAAUCACUAAAAUCUAAUUUUAGUGAAUAAA
rnacentral:misc_RNA from 1 species